UGAAUGCUGGAACUUUACUUGCUGGGAUAUCAAUUUCUUUACCAGUUUGAGGGUUACGACCUUUACGUGCAGCACGUUCACGUACCUCAAAGUUACCGAAACCAAUUAAUUGUACUUUUUCACCUUUAGCAAGUGAGUUUUGGAUUGA
rnacentral:sRNA from 1 species